UACGUAGGGGGCUAGCGUUGUCCGGAAUCAUUGGGCGUAAAGAGCACGUAGGCGGAUUCGUAAGUCAGGGGUGAAAUCCCGGGGCUCAACCUCGGAACUGCCUUUGAUACUGCGGGUCUUGAGUCCGAUAGAGGUGGGUGGAAUUCCUAGUGUAGAGGUGAAAUUCGUAGAUAUUAGGAAGAACACCAGUGGCGAAGGCGGCUCACUGGCCCGGUACUGACGCUGAGGUGCGAAAGCGUGGGGAGCAAACAGG
rnacentral:rRNA from 1 species